rnacentral:rRNA from 1 species
UACGUAGGGGCCGAGCGUUGUCCGGAAUUACUGGGCGUAAAGCGCGCGCAGGCGGCUCGUCAAGCCUGACGUGAAAGCUCCCGGCUCAACCGGGGAGGGUCGUCGGGGACUGGCGAGCUUGAGGUCGGCAGGGGCUGGUGGAAUUCCCGGUGUAGUGGUGAAAUGCGUAGAGAUCGGGAGGAACACCCGUGGCGAAGGCGGCCAGCUGGGCCGGACCUGACGCUGAGGCGCGAAGGCGUGGGGAGCGAACGGG